CGCGGUCACUGACACGUAGAAACCAAACUCAUGAUUCAAUGACGUCAUGUGAACUUUUCAGAUUAUACGUCACAAGGUGGAAAAACUUCUGCCAUGAUUUGUCUCGGUCACAUUUAUCACAACAACCUGACGUCUUAAAAGAGUAAAAGUACCAAACAUUACAAGAAGUGUUUUGUGGACUCAAACACUUCACACCCCCGCGC